CACGUAGUUGGCCGGUGCUUCUUCUGCAGGUACCGUCACUUGCGCUUCGUCCCUGCUGAAAGAGGUUUACAACCCGAAAACCUUCAUCCCUCACGCGGCGUCGCUGCGUCAGGCUUUCGCCCAUUGCGCAAUAUUCCCCA
rnacentral:rRNA from 1 species